rnacentral:lncRNA from 1 species
CAUGGCACCAUUAGCAUUUAUCACCCUCAUUGCUGGCAAUGAGACAUAGGUUAUUUGUGAACUUAAGAGCUGAUAUCUUUAGUGUUGUGUAUUAUUAGUUACAAGCACUUUUUAUUUAUGUAUGUAGCAGAAAAUUGUUUUUGAGAAUAAGAUAGGGUUCAUGUUUUAAUAUUUUUGGUUUACUGUGUUGUAAAAGUAAUAGAAACUGAUUGAGUGCCACAAGCUUCAGUAUUUCACAACAGAUAUAUAAAUUGUUGCUGUUUAUUCCACAGAAAGCAUCUGUCAUCUCUCCCUCUUUUCUGACCUGCAUUUAGUUUCCUGACCCUUCCAUGGGAUUUAGCCAGUUUCUGUUAGGUCACUGCAAAUACCUCCUUUGUGAAAGUGGAUUUAUCAUAGCCAGUCUGUGUUUCCAAAGUGAGUUAGACAGUUAUUUAAAAGCAAUUGAUAAUUUUUUGAGACUUCAGUUGUUUAAUACAUGGAGGAAUGUGCACUGAUUUUUCACUGUAAAGGGGAAAGGGCUGUUGUAACAACAGUAUGAGCAUCAGCCUGAAGCACUGCCUUGUAUACCACAAUGG